rnacentral:lncRNA from 1 species
CUCUCCCCCCAUCCGAUCUAAAUAGAACCGGGCCUUCGACUUUAUGAGGUUGCCCUUUUGUUUUUGAUACAGUUUGUUUGAAUUGUCCAAAGACAUAUGGGUAUGCGAUUUUUGAUUAAAAUGAAGUUACUGGUAGUAUAUCCGUAAGUUUUCUGAGCUCCACGGUCGUGGGAGGUCGGCUCCUUCAAGCUCCUUAAGAUAAUAAGUUCCAGGCCGGACUACUUCUUUGACCUCAUAAGGUCCCUCCCAGUUUGGGGCGAGUUUCCCCCGGUCUUGAGGUUGCGAGACAGCAGCUCAUCGAAGCACUAGAUCUCCUGCUUUAAAGGCUUUGUUCUUGACCCGGGCAUUGUAAUAUCGAGCAACUUUCUGUCUGUAGGCUGCCAUUCGAACCUGAGCGAUCUCCCAUCUUUCUUCCAGUAGGUCGAGGUUGGCUUUAAGACUUUGUGAAUUUUGGUGUUCGUCGAAUGCCACGACUCGUACCGACGGGAGUUUAAGCUCGAUAGGAAUGACGGCUUCCGUUCUGAAGGCUAAAGCAAAGGGGGUCUCCCCCGUAGGUAACCUUUGGUAGUUCGAUACGCCCAUAGCAC